UACGGGGGGGGCAAGCGUUGUUCGGAAUUACUGGGCGUAAAGGGUUCGUAGGUGGCCAACUAAGUCAGACGUGAAAUCCCUCAGCUUAACUGGGGAACUGCGUCUGAGACUGGAUGGCUUGAGUGCAGGAGAGGAACGCGGAAUUCCAGGUGUAGCGGUGAAAUGCGUAGAUAUCUGGAGGAACACCGGUGGCGAAGGCGGCCUGCUGGGCUAUUGCUGACACUGAGGCGCGACAGCGUGGGGAGCAAACAGG
rnacentral:rRNA from 1 species